CCAGAGACGAUUCUUCUCUGCUCCGUCGCUUCUAUAACUACUUCGAUUCUCAACACCGUCUCCUUCAUCCAUUCAUUCAGAGUUACCUCCGUCGACAGAGUCGGAGUUCUCUCUCCGUAAUCCCGAUUCCGUCGGCGUUCUCGUUCAUCGACGUUGGUCUUCCGAUCACCGGAUACUUUACAUUCCGUUAGAUUGAUGCUUCUGGACAAUGUCUUCGGUUUUUUCUUUACUGAUUUUGUUCUUUGUUCGCAGAAUGGAGAUUUGUUGUGCGUGUGGCGGAGACAGAUACAUAUAAAGUGGUUCGAGCAUUAACCAGCUUCUCGGUAUCAAAGGAGCAUCUCAAGAAACU